UACGUAGGAGGCAAACGUUGUCCGGAUUUACUGGGUGUAAAGGGUGCUCAGGCGGUCUUGAUAGUCAGAGGUGAAAUCCCGGAGCUCAACUCCGGAACUGCCUUUGAUACUACAAGGCUUGAGUAUGGAAGAGGUGGAUGGAAUUUCUGGUGUAGCAGUGAAAUGCGUAGAUAUCAGAAAGAACACCAGUGGCGAAGGCGGUCUACUGGUCCAUUACUGACGCUAAAGCACGAAAGCGUGGGGAGCAAAC
rnacentral:rRNA from 1 species